rnacentral:lncRNA from 1 species
CGAGGUUUCACCAUGUUGGCCAGGUUGGCCUCGAACUCCCAACCUUAGGUGAUCCACCUGCCUCGGCCUCCCAAAGUGCUGGGAUUACAGGCGUGAGCCAUUGCAUCCAGCCUCUAGGGGCUAAAUUGAUGACUUAGGUCCAGUCUCCUAACAUUCGGCAAAGUGAAGCCAGAACUAGUACCUCCACGUUAGAUAAAAACAAAUAUUGCCAUGACAAUAAGAGGCCACUUGUUGUGGGUGGAGCGAGCUGGUGGGUUUGAGGAAGGGUCCGUGUUUGCAGGCAGUGGUUCUCCUGGGUAUCUGAAGAAACAACAUUGUUUAUUUGGAGUUUCUCUUUCAUUAAUUCAAAAGGAAAAAAAUAUAGUGACACUUUAAUUAACAAAAAGGAUAUAUCUGAGAGGCAUGAACGUGUUGUCAGAAGUUUCAACAAAGACAGUAGAAGCAACUCAGGAUUCUGGGUGGACACAGAUUUCCUUCCUCCCCAUUCUACUUUCCUCCACAACUCUCCUGAGCGGUGGAGCACAGCCCCAUCGCCUUCCUGGUCCCCCUCUGUAGGGCUCUCCAUGCCUCACUGUCAUCCUAAGGUCAGAGAGGCACAGCCUGCUGCCCAAUAAUUACAGCACACCACGGGAGCCCCAAGGCACUGUUCCUGGGGAGGACAGCUGUGAUAGACAAUGUCCCUAUCUGUUGUGGGCUGAACCGUGUUCCCACCCAACUCAUAUGCUGAAGCCUAACCUCAGUACCUCAGAAUGUGACUGUUUUGUAUUUGGAGAUAGGGCCUUUUAAGAAGUGAUUACGUGGCCAGGCAUGUCUCAAACUCCUGAUCUCAGGUGAUCCACCCACCUUGGCCUCCCAAAGUGCUGGGAAUACAGUCAUGAGCCACCAUGCCCGGCUAAGAUAUUUUUAAAAUACGAAAAUUUAUUUUAUAUUUAUCUACUAUUUACCAUUUCUGUUGCUGUUUAAUCCUUUAUUUUGAUCAAGAUUUCCAGUUGGUAGAUUUUUCUUUUAAUUGAAGGACUUCCUUUAAUGUUUGUUGUAGUGCAUGUCUACUGGAAAUGAAUUUUUUUAAUUUUUGUAUGUCUGAAAAGGAUUUUAUCCUCAGUUUUGGAAGAUAUUUUUGUUGGAUAUAGAAUUCUCAGUUGAUAGGAAUUUUUUCUUUCAGUGCAUUAAAGAUAUUACUCCACUGCCUUCUGGCUUGCAUUGUUUCCAACAAGAAGUCUGCUGUCAUCAUCCUUGUUU